UCCGUGCGUGUGGUGUUUGGGCUCCUGGUCCAUUUCAAUCGCUCAGUGGGUACUCUGGGCCAGUGACAAGAAAAUUCCGUGUUUCGGGUUUUCUCAUUCGAGCCGCCUACAAUUCUACGGUACUUUUUUUUUCUCCCGCGUCGCGUUUGUUAGAAGCCUAACGAAGCCUAAAGAAGGUUAGUAGCUGCUUUGACGUAUAGUAUAUUCCACAUCCGAUUUUCCUGUUGCAGGGGAGAUUUGUGAUGGUCUAAAAACGAAAAGUAGGGGAAAGGGGGAAAAGGGGACGGAUGCUGUCUGGUAGAGUUGUUACUUGCUGCCACUGCCAGGUGAUCCAAGAGUAUUAGCAGACCUGUUUUGCUUUGGCGAAUUCACUUAUAACAUGCUCCCGGCAUGCGAGAAGUGACAACUGAUUUUGAGUUUCGAGUUGAAAUCUGAGAAGGAAAAUGCAGAGAUCAGAUUGUCUGACCCUCUGCAAUACCAAUCAAUUGUUGACGCUGAGUGGAACAUUAUUUAUGAUAAACUGGAUAAAUGUGUGAAAAGUGGAGCAAAGAUAGUUCUGUCUCGGCUAGCUAUUGGUGAUCUUGCAACACAGUAUUUUGCAGAUCGAGACAUUUUAUGUGCUCGCCGUGUCACUGAAGAAGAUUUGCAACGUGUUGCUGCAGCAACUGGUGGAACUGUUCAAACUUCUGUAAAUAAUGUCAUCAAUGAUGUA